GUCGGGCUGCUGUCCUUGGCAUGUUUCCAGCACUAGAGGUUUUUUUAAAGAAAAACCUAUCAGCUAAAUGUUCUUUCGGGAGGCAUAGAGAGGCCACCCCAGCUGUCUGCCAUGGCCAUGCCUGUGUCACUAUGCCCAAGCGUGAUCAGCAUGAAGCUGAAGAGGCACUAUUUCGCUCCUCUUUUCUUCAAGUCCCAGAGUCUUUACCUUUUCCCAGUACUGGACUGAUAAAUGUAAACACAACGUGUCCCUGCAGCUUCUCUGUCUGCAGAUGCAGUGCGUGUACUGGCAGCAGCAUUGUCUGUCUUCAUUUCCCCCUGUGAGUUCUGGUUGGGCUGUGACAUUCAAUGUCGAGCAGGAGGCCUGAGGCACUGCUCCUGCCACUGAGUCUUCAGAAGCAUCGCUUUGCUUUCACAUGAGAAGGGAGAGGGAAGGUGUGGGUUUACUUGUGAUUCAAGUCUGAAAAGAUAAAAUGAAAAUGGUGGAAUUUGGAUCAUAAACACCCUGGAGAAAGUUUGUGAAAUGGCUUCUCCGAUGAGAACUUAAAAUGUGCUAAAGCAGAGGCAGCCACAGAUUUUGCACAGCUUUAUCCUGCAGCAACUAGUACAGCAAGGGCAGCCUGUACGCUCUCAUGCCAGAACCUGUGACCUGAGGAACGAGCUGAGCUGCUCUGGCUGUUGUUUUAUGGCUUCAGUCCUCCACAAGCACAGGAAUUUAGAAGAAUUUGGAGAAGGCACAGUGACAAGAGGAGCUGUGAAGAGCUUUAGCUGACUUUGGGACUGCUGCCAGACUCCUGAACAAUUCUGAACACAUUCUUAAGUGUUCAUUUUAAGGACAGAGAGAGCAGGGGAAAUGACCAUUUUAAAUAAUAAAAAAAAUUGGUGAUAUCUUCCUUACUUUUAUAAACAACUCACAUGUGAGUGGUUUUGGAGUCUGCCUGUGCUCUGAAUUUGAAUGUGUCUGUGGCAGUGGGACUGCUGUUCCCUCCUUGCUGCAGCGACACAAGGACUCUGCAACAGUGCUCUGCUUGUGCUCUGCAGUGACAGCCUUGAGUUACUGAUAGGGGAAUGCUGGAUUAAAUGAACUGAAAACCUAAACAAGGGUUCAGGCCUUGGUUGUCUCCUCUUGAGCACUUGACCACAACCUGAGCAGGCAGCGCAUCCAAGAGCAGGCACCUGGGACGGGUGCUGCUGAAGGGAGGACGUGGCCCCUCUGAGUGUGGGCUCGAGCUGCCUGCCAGAU